GGGGUUGUGGAUCAGCGGUAGAGCACUUGCCUAGCACAUGCAAGGCCCUGGGUUUGAUCCUCAGCACCACA
rnacentral:tRNA from 1 species